rnacentral:rRNA from 1 species
GGAAUUUUGGACAAUGGGCGCAAGCCUGAUCCAGCAAUGCCGCGUGCGGGGAGAAGGCCUUCGGGUUGUAAACUGCUUUUGUACGGAACGAAACGGUACUGGUUAAUACCUGGGGCUAAUGACGGUACCGUAAGAAUACGCACCGGCUACCUACGUGCCACCAGCCGCGGUAAUACGUAGGGUGCAAGCGUUAAUCGGAAUUACUGGGCGUAAAGCGUGCGCAGGCGGUUUUGUAAGACAGGCGUGAAAUCCCCGGGCUUAACCUGGGAAUGGCGCUUGUGACUGCAAAGCUGGAGUGCGGCAGAGGGGGAUGGAAUUCCGCGUGUAGCAGUGAAAUGCGUAGAUAUGCGGAGGAACACCGAUGGCGAAGGCAAUCCCCUGGGCCUGCACUGACGCUCAUGCACGAAAGCGUGGGGAGCAA